UUGACCUCAAAUCAAGCAAGAUUACCCGCUGAACUUAAGCAUAUCAA
rnacentral:rRNA from 1 species